rnacentral:rRNA from 1 species
UACGGGGGGGGCAAGCGUUGUUCGGAAUUACUGGGCGUAAAGGGCUCGUAGGCGGCCAACUAAGUCAGACGUGAAAUCCCUCGGCUUAACCGGGGAACUGCGUCUGAUACUGGAUGGCUUGAGUUUGGGAGAGGGAUGCGGAAUUCCAGGUGUAGUGGUGAAAUGCGUAGAUAUCUGGAGGAACACCGGUGGCGAAGGCGGCAUCCUGGACCAACACUGACACUGAGGAGCGAAAGCCAGGGGAGCAAACGGG